GCUGUUCAGCGUCUUCAUCCUUGGUUUAUUCCUGAGGAGCAGAAGUUCAGGAAGAUUCCAGAACAUCACAGAGGUUUUUGAAGGGCCUGGCUCAGUGAGGAAAUAGAGAUCUGGACCUGGAGAACCACCAGCCCCACCUCUGGAGAUCUGUGGUUGACAAGGAUGAAGUCCUCACUCACCUUCCAGAAGAGUUGGCUUCUGCAGGGUGACUACAGCAGCAUCUCCUGGCUUCCAACCCCAGGCUCACACAACUUCCUCAAUCCUGCCGCUAUAGCAGGAAUUCUACCAUCUGCGUCCUGGUCUGUAUAGAACUUAGGGUUCAUACAUUUGUUCCCGAGAAUACAAGCAUCAGAACUGAGGCUGUGCGGUCAUCACCUUGAAAGUACAAGGUCACCCCCUUGUGCACAAAAAGGUACAUCCUCCUUCUGGGAUGCUCCCAGGGCCAGUCACGGCUGGCUGAGCAGCCCACCCACCCCUUCCUCUUCAUCACAGUGAUGGAAAUAGUAACAGAAACGGUCCAUCUUUGUCGACUGCCCACCGUGUGCCAGGCGCCAUUAUAAACAUUUAGCAUCUUCGCCACAGCCCUCGAGGUCAGUAUCUAUUAUUACUCCCAUUUCACAACUGGACCAGAGAGCAGAGAUGCCGAGUCAGUUGUUCAUGGCCUCCCUUCCGAUAGGUGAGGUGGUAGAGCCCUACCCAGUUAUGCCUGUUACCAGGGCAUAAAUCUAGGAGACCCACUCAGUUCAGACUCCCUUCUCCUCCAGGAGGCCCACCUUGACCGUAAUCCUGAAGCCACUGGCCAAUUUCAAAGUCUCAUCCGUAGACUGCUAUAGCCUCCAAGGCUGCUUUCUUCUUGAAUCCUAUAGCCCAAGUCCAGUGGCUUGAUCUGAAAUUUGCUCAUGAGGUCUGGAAAGACUUCUCUAAAGCUCGGAGCCUGUAGCUGAGGCACUAACGCUGGAGACUCCAACGCAGCCCAUUUCCUAAGAGCUACUCUUUGCUGACGUCUGGGACUCCCUGGCUAGCCAGCUUAGCCAAUCAGUGAGCUUCCGGCUCAGUGAGAGACUGCCUGAAAACAAGAGGUAGAGUAUGACAGAGGGAAACACGCUAACCUUUGGACUACACACAUGUGUACACACAUAUACACCAUCCAAGGCUGUCCUACGGGGUCUUUGUAUCAUAACAAAAUACCAGAACCUGCCCAUCUCCCAUCAGGAAAGGAACUGUCUGAAGAACUAAGGAGUACCUUGAAGCAGCUGAAAGGAGUGGAGAUCAGUUUGUAGCAUGGCAAGAUAGAUGCCUUCACGCUUAUCGGGAAAAGCCAAUUCCAGAAUGAGUUCUAUGAAGUAGAAUCCUAUUUAAAUCAUUUAAAAGGAACACAGUUUGGGCCAGGCAUGGUUGCACAUGCCUUUAAUCCCAGCAUUCCAGAGGUAGAAGCAGCGAUCGCUGUGAAUUCCAAGCCAACCUAAACAGGGUCUGUCUCAAAAGUAAAAACAAAACAAAACAGCAAAACGCAGCUCUGCCUGCAUGCAGGUAUUUGGUUCAUCGUGCAUGGGGUGGAAGGGCCAGAGAGACAGCCAGCUCAGAGCUAACAAUAGGAGUGAGCAGACUCAGGGGGAAAGGGGCCCGUCUGAUAAGGAGGUGCACUGCUUGAGUUUUGUGGUAAAAAUAAUAAGCACAGUAAUCUUCAAAUACUUUUCAAAAUUAACUACCGUCUCCUCUCCACACCUCUGAUGGCUACAUGGGGGUGAGGAAGACCCUGCAGUUCAUUCUGCCCAGCUCCCCCUGGCUGCCUGGCUCCCCCUGGCUGCCCCUCCCCUGCCUCAUCACUGCCAAGUUCCUUUGGUCUUGGCUGCCCUGGCUCUGCCCUCAGGGUUAAGGAACUGUCAGCUUGAUUUCCACAGCCUUCCAUCAGCUGACGGGGUGGCCAUCUCUCAACCCUGAUCAAACUGGAUGCCAUCGGCUUUGUAACAUCUGUCCCCUUGGGCCCCAGCAAGAAGCCAUGGAGUAGGGACAAGGUCUGAAGAUGGCCUGGGCCUGGGCUCUCAGGCCAGUGUUUCCUCAGCAACCUGGAAACAGCUCCCUGACCAACAAGCAGAAACAUUCAAUUCCCUGAGGAAGAAAGAGCCCGAUUCAGCACUGCCUUGUGGCGGGUAUGUAGGAGAGACAUGGUGAGGACCUGCACUCAGAGAGCUCUGAGGAAAUCUGAGAAGGAGCUCAAGGACUGGCCUGACUUCCCGUUCUGCAGAUGGCUGACAGGCUCAAGAAAGGAAACGGACUUCCCCAAAUCCCCACAGUGAGUCUGCGCAACGCUUCUGCCCACGCUAAAGCUACCAGGGAGAGCUUUGGCCUCUCUGUGCCCUUUUCUUACCAGCUUGGCACCGCAGACAAUUCAAGAACCAUCAACAAGAAGCUGACAGGGCAGGAGCAGCCAGGCCCAAAGGGCCAGAGGCAAGCUUACAUCUCAGCCAGUCCUCAGUGGCCCAGGGAAAAUAUUGACCUUCUAGCUUCUAAUGCCAAGUUCCAUGAAAGCUACAACUCCAGACUGAGAAAAUACACUAGGUUUUCAUAAAUAUUUGAAAGUGUACUAUCGAUUAUCAUCCUGGUAUGGCUGCAGCCCUGGGUUUGAGGGGAGUGGGCAGGGACAGAAGGCUGGGCCCUCCCCACACCACAAGACCCCCAAAGUUAUUUAGUCAUCCAUUCAGAAUUUGUGUGUGUUUGUUCUCCCUGGAAGUCAAACAGGAUUAGACUGGGAAGAAGCGGCUGGUAGGAGGCUGGAUGGGAAGAUUUCUUACUUUAUUCUGGACUAUCUUGUUAAUUUUUUUAAACAUAUAAAUGUGUUCUCUUUUCAAAAUAGUAAAUAAAAGGUUUAAACCA